GAUCCACCGUCUACAUCUUAUUCCUCAUUCAGACUUACCCUUUCAUAUCUCCAUAAUUUCUCCACCGCCACCGGAUACCUCAGGAACGAUUUUGGAUGCAUCCACCUGUCCUUACCACCAAAUGACGUUCUUCUCUUGCCUAAUUUGUUUUAAUCUCUAAAAUCGGCGAUACCCAUCAUCAGUCCCUCUGUUUCCUACAUAGUUUGAGGCCUCCCAUGUCUUUGGAUUCUUUAUCCAAGUGGUUUACUCUCUCCACCGCCAUCAGUCUCCAAUGCUUCUCAUAUGCUUUGGUGAUGACCGGUGAAGGAGGCGAGUGCGAACAGUCGACUAAUUGCCACGGACCUAGGAAGAUUUCAAUCGAAGAGACUUAGGUUUUCUCGCUUUCUUCCCCAAUUCUAUUUCAAUAUCCAUGUAGCACAAAGAUAAAAUAUAAGAGACUAGAGGAAGCGCACACUUAAGAACUUCGAGUCAGGCUUAAUUUGGGGAUAGGGGGUGGUUCAACAUCUGUCUUAAACAAUCCUUAAGGGAAUGUUGAAGACCAUUCUUAGCUCUAUAGUGAAAUCAGCAAAGGAUUACAGAACUAUCGUUGGAGCGAUAGACAAAGGAACCAGAGCUGUCAAUGGCUGAUAUCGACAUGCUUGGCAUAGAGAACAUAAGAUAUUUGCAAAUUCAUGUCUUCUUAUCGAGGUUUUUAGAUAUUUCCAAAUUCACGUCUUCUUAAAGAGUUUUCAUGCAUACGGAGGGGAGGUUGGGGCUACACUGCGGCGAUGGGUUUAUGUUUUUAAGGCUCCAUUUUGGAGGCGUAGAAUACAAAAGUUUUGGGUUCUUCAGUUUGAUUUGGGUAUGGGUUUAACAAGUAUGGUGAAGAUAAAUGAAGGGCUUUAAUGUAAGGAAUGGUUAUAUCAUGUGAAAAGGAUAUGGGUUUCAUGAUCUUCCUUGCUAUCUCUUUCUAUAUACCCUUCGUCUCCACCGUAUCUUACCACCACCAUAGAGACACCCACGACACACCACUUCCCAUUCUCCAUCUAUGGAUGUCAACACUUGAUUUUCCGUUAGGGAGGCGGGAGGAGUAGCGAUUGAACUCCUCCCAAACCUUCGGUGUCUGUUCAUCGCCUUCAAUGAAGUCACCACCACCGUGAAGCGAAAUCAAAGUUAGGUGCAUAUAUCUUUCUCUUCUUUAUUUGCUUUCUGUUUCUGGUCAAUAUAUUUGCAGUUUUUUUAUUUCCUUUGGUAUGAAGAAGAUAUACUCUAGGUAUUUGACAAUUUCUUUUUAUAAUUUUGGAAUUGGCAACGUAUUAUUUGCCUGUAAAGGAUUCCACUGAUUGGAGUGAUUUUGGAAGUUAUGCCCAACCUUAUGUCUUCGUCUUUUGUUCUUUGUUCUGAGGACACUUGCAGUCCAUUAAAGGUGUUUGAUGCAUGCAAUACCCCGACGUGAAUUCGGAGAAAUAACUUGUUACACUCAAAUCGUACGUUUUCAUUUCCAAUUUGCCAUGCGCUUUCUCAAACCCACAAUCAACCAUUUCAGUUCACUUAUGUAAUUCUGCAUUAUUUUUAACAUGAUUUGCAUGUAUAAUUUUGGACUUAAUUUGUAAGCAUUACUUGAACAUUUUAUGUCAGAUUAUAUAUCAUGUUCAACUGCUUAGCUGCUUUACAGGGGAAGAGUAGAAAGUGCCGGCCAAAAUUCGUCUUAUUUGGGGAAAGAUGAUGACAUCACCUAGGAGAAAAAAAAAACAAUGGAGGAUGUUGUCAAGGUGUGAAGAUGAGUUUUUAUGUUGCAGAGAUGAAAGCUUAGGGUAAAAAAGUCUAUUUUUUUAAAUGGCAACAAAAAACGACUCUGCCUAAAUCUUCUACAAAGAGUUAUUUUCGUAAUGACAACUUUACUCAUGCUCCCAACAACUCAGAUGGUCAAAAACUUAAAAUUGCCUUGUUGGAAUAGUAUUUGUUUUAUAUAAAAAUAUGAAAACAAUCUUUUUAUUCUUUUCUAUUUUAAAGUUAAAAAUGGAUAUUUUUUCAAAGAAAUAGGAGUUGAAAACUUACAAUGUUUA